AAACGGUCGCCGCAGGGUUGGCGGACUUGAGAAGGAGCAAAGAUGGCGGAGUGAGGUGGGUCGAGGUUCCCUGGCCUUUGGGCCAGGGGUAGGGCCGGACCCCGGGCGCUCGAGUGCUUCUGCUGACCCGUGUGAGGAAGAACAUUUUCCUUGACUUGUAGGUGCUUUUAUAUUCAUCUCGAAAAGAAAACAAAAUUCUGAACUCAGGAUUUGGCAAGUUUUGAAUUAGAACUGUCUCAUCUUCAACCAGAAGAGGUUAUUCAAGAUAUUUGCAGUUUAACAAGUGUGAUGUUUAACAGCAGUGAACUGCUAAUGUUUUUACAUGCUUGCAUUUGGCGAUCAUGCCACAGUAUUUCUAUGUUGUCUCCUGGAGUGGGGUUGUCCUGCUUCUUUUAUCGGGCCACCUUCCCUAUUCUUGAAAUGUGGAUAUCUCUUCUCUACACUUUACCUCCUUGAUUUGGACUGGAAAAGGCUGCUUUUCUUUUUGUUCCACCUCUCAGAUUCAAAGAAGAGAAGCCCCUGGGAUGCAGUCAUCCUGCUAACUUCUCUAGGAAGAAAGAAGCAACUGACAUGCAUCUUCUGCUGCAAUUUGCUUAAUCACAAAUAAUUUUACAAGCUGAAGGCUGAUAUCAUUUGAAACAGGUGCUUAGAUGGUGAUAUUUGUGAAUUCUUUGCCUUUUGUUCCAGACAAGAAGAUGAAAUAACAAGCAUGCGUGACAUCAGGGUGUUUUUUUUAACGUCUUCCAGUUUUAGCCACUGUUGUGAUAAGCACAGUUGAGACUUGCAGCAGUAAAUUCCAAAUAUGUGUUCUAAUUUGAAGUGAAAGAGAUGCUUAAAAAAUUACAUAUAUAUCUAAUACCUGCCUCAUCCUUUGGCAUAGAUUUACUGGGUAAGAACAAAGGUCCAAUUUUGCAGUAAAACCUUUGAUGUGAUAAGGAAGCAUAAAGACAAGAUAUCACAAGUCUUAUUUAUAUAGCACUUGAGACUUGGUUUUACAUGCUGCUAAGGCUGGAAGAAAAGUGGCAAAAGUGGUUUUUCUGUUCAGAAGAUCUUGGGAUGGACCCUACAGUAUGAUCUGCCUUCACCUUUGGACAUACAGGAGUGGAGAAAGAAAAAUGAGGAAAGUUUCCAUAUUACUCCUUUCUCCUAAGAAAAAGAAGUGAAAAUGCUUUAUGCAGCUCCAUCUGACUUUAUGGCAUUUCACAUUCUAUAUCUCUGGUUUUUGUAAAAGGAUAAGUAACUUUUUUCCUUUGAUCCCAAGAUGGGUUCUUGGGUAUUUGAUUUAUUUUUCUAGGCAGUAGGUGUAUGUUCGGCUGAAAAGGCUGGGACUGAGGUAACUUUCCCCAGUUGGAACUGAACUUUCUCAUCAGAGAAUGGGCCUCAGAAGAAAUGUUCCCAGACGGUGGUUGGGUCAGUGUAGAUUUAGAAGAAAUCCAGGGUCUGAAAAAACUCAAACAAGAAAAAUAGUUCAGUAAGAAAUAAUGAAUUUCCUUUCUUUCUGUUAAAACUUACAACUAUCUGAUGAACAGACUACAGGGUAAAGCCGUCCUUGCUUCCAAAUCAACAGAGGACCAUUGUAUGAAUUGCCAGGUGUUUACAUAAGAAGAAUGAAACCUUUAAAAGUUUUUGUGAGUAGAGAAAGAAUUUAAAGCUGGUUAGAUGAAAUUAAGAACAGAUCAUCUUAGAUCAUCUCUGUGAUACAGGGAAUGUUUGCCCAGGGCCAUGCAUGUUGUGCUGCCGAAAUCUUGGGGCAGAUGUACCAGAAUUUGAGAGUGAUAGAAAUAGCCAAAAAUUGGAAAUAUUGAGCACUCUUAACGAUUAGUUAAAUUGGUCAACCAAUUUGAAUUGGCAUACGGAAGCGUUUCAGUAAAAUAAUUACAUAAUAUAGAUAAAAUAUAAUUUCCUUUAAUUGGGGGCAAUUCCUGAGUGGUAAAGCAUAGUAGAAGUAACUUGGAUAAAGGUAACUUAAAUUUUUCUCUAAGUAACUUCUCAGCCACUUUCUGAUGUUUUCUAUCAGUAUUUUGGAGUUGAUAAAGACAGAAUGGAACCUAUAUACAUGAGUCCUGCUGGUAUGUUGGGAAUAUCAUAUCAUGGAGAAUUUGUGUCUUCAGUUGUCUGUUACCUAUCCUCCCCAUGUUUUUUGGGGCAGCUUUUUGGGUGGGAUUGUUUGGCAGGUGAUAGAGACCCUCUACUGUCAGCACCAGUGAAACCAUCUCUGGCCCACUUGUUUGAAUAAUUGUGUGUGUAUCAGACUCAUCUUCUCCAGUUGCUUUGCAUAUUUUCAUUUCAAAGCGAAGAGAACCACUGUUUGUUUAAUGCUUUCAAGUAGUUUUUGCAUUUUCCAUGAUUUUCACUGGAUGGCAUUUAACAAAAUGGGUAUAUUCCAGUUGUAUUUGCCCAUUGUUUACUUAAUACAUCUACAUUGUUUUUCCUGGUCUAUUUUGGUCACUUCAUUAUGGCAAAAGCUAUAAUUUUAGGGAGGACUAUGCCUCAAUCUGUAGCUGUGCCUACUUCCUUUCCUUUGCUCAUCCAUGUUAGCUGGCAGUUUUUCUUUUAAAAAGUUGAACAAAAAUGGGAUAUGUGCAAUAGAAAUAUAUAUAUGUAUAUUUUAAUACUUGUGGACAAAUGUUACAAGUUGUUUAAGAACAACAAAAUCACCAAUGUCUUCCAUUUUGAGAUGUGUAUAGUUUUGUAAGCAUUAGUGCUUGGUAGCAUAUUGUAGUGCCAUGUUAGGGGUUAGUGCAUGAGCCUAGUAAUAAUUUAAACUUCAGGAUGAAUUAUUGAUAAUAACUAAUAGUGUAAAAAGAGUGGAAAAUCUAGACCUUUUCUUUUCUCAUAAAUAUCUGAAUCCGUGAUACUCUCCCUGGGGAAAAGAGAUUAAGGCCAAAAAGACUCAUUUAUGAAUAGAAAUAUGGGGUCACAAGGUGAGAUACUGUCUUUGAGGAUUUUUAAGCUUUCCAUGAGGUAGGAAACCAGUUGCCUUUCUGUCUUAUGAAACCUUAUAUCAAAAUGAGACCCCAUUUCAUGAUUCUGCUUUGCUCUCUUUGAGGUGAGACUGUUCUUACACUGUUUUCACAUUGUAUGUCUUGUAGGUUUAUUUUCCCACUCUUUUUGCAUCAGAUUAUUUUACAUUUUGCAUGUCUUACUGAGAUGCUAUGUUAAUUGCUCAAGUGAGUGCUUUUCUAAUCUGAAGACCAUUUAUGUUUCCUAUUUGCAGUAUGCUACAUGUUAACAGAAGAACACUGGUCAGUAGUUGAGUGUCCUAAAUUAAUUUCUCUUGGGCUUUUCCUGUUUCCAGAUUUGCUGAAUUGUGUAUUGAUGAGAUUCCAGACCUUUUCAUGAGAAUUGGCAAUGUAGCUAAAUGGAGGCUACCUAGGUUGCCAUGUAUUAAUAUUAACUAACUCCCUGCUUGGUUAUAGUAAAUUGCCUCAGACAGCUUUCACUCUUUUCCUUGUAGAAAUAAAAGUUGUUUUGUUCUGAAAGCAUAGCUUUCUGUAGAAAAGAAAUUCCUACCUCUAAAAGCUUUCUUCAGAACUUGGAAAUGGCAGUUUUCUGGGGUGAUUUUUAAAUCUCAGUAUUAGGAGAGUCCAGGAUUUAUUGCCACAGAUUCUAUAGUUAGUAUGAUAGGAAAUGUAAAACUUUUAAAAUGUGUGUCUUGUGUACAGAAGCAGGCUUAAAGAAAUUGACUCUUGGGCAGCAAAUCUUGAGGGACCCAGGUUUAGAUUCUUAUAGUGUACUUAAAGUAGUUGUACUCUUGGUUCAAGUAGUUUAGUGCCUGGGAGAAUCCACUUCUGAAAAGCAUUUAAACAUUUAAAAAAAUACCUCUGAAAAGGUAAUGAAUGCAAAAUAGCACAGUAUAUAGGAAAGUAUUUCCUAUUGCAAAAAAAAAAAAGCCAUAAAACAAACAGUUUUCAAGAGGUAGAAUUUCAGUAGCAAUAACAGUUUUGCAUGUAUACUAAGUUGUGUUAGCAGGGUUGUACAGUAGAAUACUUGAGUUUGAGGCUCUGUGAUAACAGAAUUCCAUGAAAGGAAAAAGAUGUAGGUAAAGAGUAUAUAAAAGGUACUUAAGAACAAAAAACUGAAUGUAUAUGAAUAUAUCAUUAUGUGAGAAGUAGCAACUUUUGUGCAAGUUAAAGGUUAAAGACCCUACUUGUUUGCUAGAGCAGAGGGGUAGAGCCAUUUAAGCUUUUCUAAUGCUUAACCUGGAAACGUACUCCUACUGAGUAACCCCACUGAAGCUCAUCAUGUGGGGAUUUUGCUUAUGAUGUUUCUUUUAACAACAGGCAUUUAUAAAAUGGCAUACUUUUUGCUUUGUCACCUCAUCUUUCUCCUUUAGUUUCCUGGGUACAUGUUUUAAAGAGAGAGAAAAGUUUGCUGUGUGUGUAUAUUUAGAGUUUAAAAAAACAGACCAAGAACUUGGAUAGCUAGCUUUUCCUCAUGCCUGUUAGUGUCGGGGCGUUAGGAUUUAAAAGUAUAAAGCAAAAGGAUUGAAGGGAAUGGCCAAAGACAGUACACUGUCUAAUGUAGAUGUGCCAAGGCCUGUGGCCUGUGACUGCUUAUUUUAACAAGAACCCAGCAAACUAGUUUCUUGAUCUGAAGAAUCACACAGCUCUCACAUCAGGAUGUAAUAGUGGAACGAGGGUGACUUCUUAUUCCCUUUUACCUCAUAUUCAUCUUGGCCAUUUAGCACCUUGAAGAUCCCUGAAAAGAUUGUGUCUGUGUUCCCUUGUUUUCCCAGGGGAAAAAAUUGAAAGAUGAGUGGAUCUAAGAAAAUAGUGCCUCUUGAAUAUUAAAUUCUUAAAUGGCAACUCCAAAGGAUAGAGAGAAGGCUAUAUUAAAUUGAUUAUAGCUCCUCUUUAAAUGUCCUAUGUCUUCAGUUUUGUGUUAGAGACAUUGGAAUAACCAAGCAAUAUUCAAACAUCUGCACGAUCAUGAGGACACCACUGUGUAUUACAGUGAUGUCAGUAACAGUUUAGUUACUUAGAACAAUUAAAGAUUACCCUUAAUAGCAACAUUCAUAGUUUUAAAUGCUCAAAUGUGCUACAAGUUUUUGUAGUCUCAAAGUAUGGUUGAUACUUUGUUGUUUUGGUCUCAUGUUUACUAUUUGUGUACCUGUGAUAUGCAAAAUAUGAAGAGACCCUUGGCCUCCAGGAGUUUACAUUCUCAUGGUGCUGCUGGUGCAAGCAAAUUGCUUCUAGUUUAUUCAGAACAUUGCUUGGCUGUUAAUUAUACCAUGUUUGGAAGGAUUCCUUGGCCAAUAGUUUUCAAAAGCAGAGUGCUAUGCUAAACUUCAGGGCAUUGAUUUUGAGUUUACAUUGUAUUAGCUCUGCUGUUCAUGAACUCCUUUUCCCCAGGGAGCUGUGCAGGUAAUGCUCAUUAAUGUGAAUCAAACUAUUCUGCCUAAGAGCAUCUUCAUCAUCUCUGUACCACCUAUGCUCUUCUAUGCCAUCACUGUAAGUAAAUGGCCAAGAAAACUCACUGCUCCAGAGGACAUCUCUCAGUACUCUAUUUCCCCAAAUUUGUACAUCAUUCUCUACCCAAAAGGACCAGAAUUUGCAAUUAAUCCUUUUAUAACUGAAUAGUGGUCCUAAUUUUAACCUUUUUGUGUGUGACUUUUGUACCUCUGUUCUGAAGCAGCAUUGUGAUAGAUGUGGAGCACCUGCCUGCAUUUCUAAGCAAUCACUUUAUUAACCCACAUUUUCAGUUGAAACUUUGCAUGUGUCCUUGUAAUUUCCCCUACUUCCUCUGAGUCAAGGGGUUUACUCUGCAUGUUUAUUAAAAGUGGGUCUGGAUGGAAGUGCAAGCAAUAGUGGCAGGCCCAUAACUCUUAUUUUAAAGUAAGUAUAAUCUAAUGCAUGGUUGAAAAUGUCCAAUGUUAUGUGGCUACUAGUAAUUAGAUAUAUGCCUUUAUUAAUAAUGAAGCAAUAGAGACUUAAACCACUAGCUUGAAUUUAUUGUUUGGAUUAUUAGUUUUCAUUUUCUAAGAUUAUCUUACUUCCAUUGAAAAUGGAAGGUAGAAGAUAAACAGGGGCAACCAUAAGACAUUCAAACUGUCAGGAAUAGAGCAUAACAGUGCUCACCCUCUAACCUCUUGCCUGGUUCCAUUAGUCCCCAAGCAUGUUUAAAAAGAAAAGGCACAAACUAAGCAUGUUCAAAUAAAUAAAGAAGCUGCUAUGGCUAUAAUAAUCAGAAAGGUGCAGAGUUUCAGAAAGUGUGGAAUACCAGUGUGGAAGAUGUAGAGUAACUAGGGAUGGGGUUUGUCUGAUAGUUUACGUGGCUUAAGUUUGGAUCUCUUAAAAGACUAGAAUCUUGGAAGUGAAUAGAGGCAACAUGGACAUACUUCAGAUGUUCCAAGAUUUUCAGGUAACUAGGUGACUCUUUGGAUGGUACUGGUAUUACCCAGCCAUAAAAGAUCCUUCCAGCAAAGGAGCCCAUUCCAUUCUAUGGAAAUAGUCCUUAAAAUAUAGGCACAUCUAUGGUUUGGUUUUUCUGUUGUUACUGUAUUUAAGUUUUUAAAGAAAUUUUUUUAUAGCUGGAGUUUUAUCCUUGAUGUUUUGGUUAGACUUCAUAAUUUG